AAAAUACACAUGCAAGGGUAAACAUUUGAAGAGGCUGGGUCUUGUAAUCCUUUUUGCAUUUGAAGUAUGAUUUAUAUGAACAGCUGAUUAUUCAAAUCUCUAACUACCAGCUUCUUCCCUGCAAUCAAGUAUUUAGAGUUUUAUCCUGGAUUCAUAUUUUCAGCUCAAGCGUGGGCACAAACUGAACACAAAAUGGACAAGCCCCUGUACAAAAACAUAACUCUAAGGGAAUGGAUAAUGGGAUGAAGAUGAUGAGAUGAAAAGAGAUAAUGGGACAAAAAGAGAGUGAACUUUCAUUUUCUUCUGUUCUUCCUCAGGCACACAUCUCUGCAUUUACAGCUCAAGCAGUGCAUCCACAUUCUGGACAUGUUGGACUUUUCAGCUCUCUAAAGAAUGCUAUGAGAGUGCCCUCGAUACACAAGCUGCCUAGCUGCCCUUGGGAAAGGCUCUCUGUGCAGUUGCUUCAAGCUCUGUGCAAAUGAAGCUGCAGAAGGUACCAGCAACAGGUCUGGGAAGGAUCAGGGGACCCAAGUAUUGUGGCCAUCCCCAGUGUUGCAGGUUUGGGCAAGAUGGUUCGAAGAGAAAAGAGGGGCCACUGGCAGCUUGUGCUACUUCAGUGUAUCUCCUGAACAAGAUCCACACUUCUCCAAACCAGGAAAGAUGGAGGAAAGAUGCAGGAUACUCCAAUAUAUAAAAGGCAGGUAACAUAGUGGUAAGGUAACUAUCAGUGACAUCACUACUCUGUCCCACAGGAAUUAGUGCAGAAUUAUGCUUUUGUGCACUUUAUCUCCAUUCCAUUAGGAACUGAC
rnacentral:lncRNA from 1 species